CCCGUCUCAGAAUCGUACCUCGAGAGUUUCCAGUACUCUACCAGUUUUGGCUAUGGGAGGGAGAGUCAAGCAGAGGCAUAGCCAUUCCAUUCCUAGGUCGCACAGUGGCUAGUGAGUGGAAAGCAAUCUGCUACAAGU